GUCUACGGCCAUACCACCCUGAACACGCCCGAUCUCGUCUGAUCUCGGAAGGUAAGCAGGGUUGGGCCUGGUUAGUACUUGGAUGGGAGAAUUGCUGUGGCCAUGUAGAUG
ensembl:rRNA 5S_rRNA 5S ribosomal RNA